rnacentral:sRNA from 1 species
GAUGAGAAGCUUCGACUAAGGUUCGAUUCGAGCGAAAGCGAGAAAGCGUUGCCAACGGCAACGACCCGAAGGGCGAAGCGCGCAGCGCUGAGUAAUCCUUCCCCCGUCAUCC